GGGUGUGAAUUAGCGGCGAACGGGUGAGGAACACGUGAGAAAUCUGCCUUCAACACUGGGAUAACUCCGGGAAACCGGGGCUAAUACCGGAUAUGAAAUCUGCGGGCAUCCGCGGAUUUGGAAAGUUUUUCGGUUGAAGAUGAUCUCGCGGCCUAUCAGCUUGUUGGUGAGGUAAUGGCUCACCAAGGCGACGACGGGUAGCCGGCCUGAGAGGGCGACCGGCCACACUGGGACUGAGACACGGCCCAGACUCCUACGGGAGGCAGCAGUGGGGAAUAUUGGGCAAUGGAGGAAACUCUGACCCAGCGACGCCGCGUGCGGGAUGAAGGCCUUCGGGUUGUAAACCGCUUUCAGCAGGGAAGAAGCGAAAGUGACGGUACCUGCAGAAGAAGCACCGGCUAACUAUGUGCCAGCAGCCGCGGUAAUACAUAGGGUGCAAGCGUUGUCCGGAAUUAUUGGGCGUAAAGAGCUCGUAGGUGGUUCGUCACGUCGGAUGUGAAAAUCUGGGGCUUAACCCCAGACCUGCAUUCGAUACGGGCGAGCUUGAGUAUGGUAGGGGAGUCUGGAAUUCCUGGUGUAGCGGUGGAAUGCGCAGAUAUCAGGAGGAACACCAAUGGCGAAGGCAGGACUCUGGGCCAUUACUGACACUGAGGAGC
rnacentral:rRNA from 1 species